AAAACGCGGAGAGCGAGAAAAGAGGGAGAAGUAUAUUGAAGAAAGCUGCGGCAUUUACGACAUCUUCAAGUCCAUCGUUUAUGGCUAUUCGGAUCUCUGUGGCUCUCAUAGUCAUUCUCCUCUACCUCCUACCACUGGCCUUCGCCGGUCAUUUUCUCUCCUCCGGUGAUGAUGCGAAUAUGCAUGGACCUCUUCCGUCUCUAGCUGGCCAAGCAGUGGCACGCAAUCUAGGAGGAGUGGGUCGAAGUCCGUACCGUGGAGAUGGGAGACAUAACCGCUAAAGCUCCAACCAUCUCUGCAGGCACCAUGUUGUACGUGUUUAAUGUCAACUAUGCCCCCAAAGCUAGCAAAUAAGAACAUAUAUCACAAAGUUAAAGUAUUCUGCUUUGUCUCGCCAGAUGAUGUUUACGACUCUUUUUACACAAUUGUAGUUCUAAGAUCAUGCAAUAAGUGUGACAUCCGAGAAAUUCGUAGUUCUUACGUUCUCGAUUCUACAUGUAAGGAGCUUACAAAUAAGGUUUUCAUUUCUCACCAUUUUGUAUCAUAUAAAGUGCAAUACAAAA